UACGUAGGGUGCAAGCGUUAAUCGGAAUAUCUGGGCGUAAAGCGUGCGCAGGCGGUGAUGUAAGACAGAUGUGAAAUCCCCGGGCUCAACCUGGGAAUGGCAUUUGGGACUGCAAGGCUGGAGUGCGGCAGAGGAGACUGGAAUUCCUGGUGUAGCAGUGAAAUGCGUAGAUAUCAGGAGGAAUACCGAUGGCGAAGGCAGGUCUCUGGGCUGACACUGACGCUCAUGCACGAAAGCGUGGGGAGCAAACAGG
rnacentral:rRNA from 1 species